GUGUGUUGCUGUGUGUUGCGUCUAACUGGUGUGUGCCGGAUACCUGUGUGUUUACCUGUUGAUAUGUGGUUUGCCCUUCCCUACCUGACGCGCCACCAGAGGGCCGUGGACGAGGUACAGAACCGACCCAUUAAAGUGAGGGAAUGCUGACCAGCCUCCCGUCGUGUCCCCACAACCACCACCACAACCACCGUCGCCGCCGUCGCUGUUGCUGCUGCUGAUGUACUUCCAAGGACUCGCUAGCUCGCAGAAGGCAGUAUCUCCUCCACCUCCACCAAACGUCCCUUCUUCCACCUCCUCCUCACCAAGCUCUUAGCACUUUUGAACACGAGGAAGACCACAAGAACAGCAACGGCAAGAAGACCGAUUAGGGUGUCCGUGAAAAAAAACAUAAGGCAGACUCUUAUAAAUAGACGUGAUGUGGAAUGUCUAGGAAGUGUUCCGCCGCCUCUUUGAACUGAAGGAAGGAGACUCAAGUGCUGAAAGGGUAUACACAAGCCAGGAGUGUGUUUGGCGGCCUGUGUUUGCGGAAGGGAGACCAACAAACAAGCAAGCAAGCGUCUGUGAGUGGCUGGCUGGCUACACACACACACACACACACACACACACACACACACACACACACGCAAACACACAUACACAGACACACACAAACACUGGCUCUUAUCUGUUAUUCUCCCCCUUACUCCCUGCCGCCCUCUAUCUCAACCUCCUCUGUCUCGGUGAAGCGAUACGGAGGGCGACCUGACAGACACACGACAAUACCCCGAGACACACACACACACACACACACACACCUCAAGGAUAGUACAGUAUUGUUGUCCUCGUCGUCGUCGCUGCUGCUGCUGUUGUCGUCGUCGUUGUCUUCGUCAUCGUUGUUAUUGUUGCUGUCGCUGUUGAUGGGAGAGAUAAAGAGUGUUGGAGUUCUCGCCUUGUUAUGUGUGUGUGUUCUUGAAGAGCUGUUGUCUCUGUCUCUCUGUAUCUGAACUGUCUGCUUUCGUGUCAAUAGUACAUUAUAGCUUACUCUAGUCUUCCCUCUUCCUCUUCCUCCUCUUCUUCAUAUUCCUCCUCCUGUCCUUCACUUCGCUCCUCGCAGUCCCUUUACAAACUCGCCCUUUCUUAUCUCCCUCCCACCCUUUCCUCAACACGCGCUACAGAACACUGAAUCCUCCCUCCCUCCCUUCACUCAUCCAACAGUUAUCUCCUCGCCCUCCCUCCUCCUCCUCCUGAGUCGCUGCUGUAGGGGAUGAUGGGGCUUCGAGUGUGUGCGUGUGUGUAUGCGCGUCUGUCGUGGUGACCAAUGCCCGGUAGUUCCUUCACCACUUCUCGCUUUGCCGCCACGUCCUCUUGAUCUGCCCUCUUUUCCUCCUCCUGCAUCUCCUCCUUUUCCUCCUCCUGCUACUACUACUACUCCUCCUCCUUCAAGCAGUCUCCGCCAUAGUCUGUACAUCUCUGCAAUCCUUCCCCUUCGUCUCCUUUCCUAUUUCGGCUCGUCUUAGUGUUGCCUUGGGAGUCAGGCUUUCUAUUUUGUUAUUUAAUCAGCGCAGUUGUUAUCGUUGCAAGGUUUUGGGUUGUUCUUUUGUUUCCCUCCCUCUGUAUUGCGGCUUCUUCUUUAGUAGCCUCAUGAUCUUCAGUAUUCGCUUCAUAUAGACUCCCUAGCCUUUGUAUUCCAGUUGUUAUCGUUGUUUCCGCUUCGGCUCGUGUUGCUGGUCCGUCUGGGUUUAGAUUCCAGUGAGUCGGAAGGCGAUCGGCGGAUUAUAAGAUAUUUUUGGGAGGAAAGGUUUCGAUUCCUCUUUCCUGCCGUGACUGGUAACUCUGCAUGCGUGUGUGUAUGUGCGGGGACGUGUAUGUGUGUACGUUUUGUGUACAUGUGCGUUUGUGAAGAGGGUAAGUUGCCCUUCACUCCCUUCCUCCUGCCUUCUUGCUCUUUUCGUCCUCCUCGUCCUCCUCUUUCUCCCCUUCCCUUCCCCUUCUUCUACAAGCACAACACGGAAGGGACGAGGUGCAUGCAGAGAGAACAGGGAGAGUAAUAACAGAGAGAGAGAGAGAGAGAGAGAGAGAGAGAGAGAGAGAGAGAGAGAGAGAGAGAGAGAGAGAGAGAGUUUUAUCUUAUCUAUUAUGAAUUAUUGUUAACACACACACACACACACACACACACACACACACACACACACACACACACACACUUGGAGCCCUCGUGUGAAGUGUGCAGUAAUUCAUUAAAAAAACAAAAACAAUAAUCACACCAAAUCGGCUUUUAAAAGUAUUUAUAAGCCAUUAGUGAAGAAAUUGACGUUGUCAGCUAAAGUGGCGUUGCAACAGAUAGUAAUCAAUAACUAAUGAAAAGAAAAUACACGUAAUUGUUGUAGAGAAAAGUUCGAGUGAAACUAAUAAUAUAACUCUAAUCUAUAUCAGAGAGAAGAAGAGGAAAGAAAUAAAAAAGAAAACAGGAAAAAAGAAAGUGCAAAGAGGAAAAAAGUGAAAAUAAAACAAACAACGCCGAAAUAAGAGCACGGAGACUCGAACUUGGUGGCGUGAAUGUGACAGUAGCGCCACAGCAGCCACGACGUCCACCACCCCCACGGCCACCUGUCCCGUCGCCUUCACCGCCUCCCUCCGUGCCUGCCUACCCCAGUCAACCGCCCCAGACACGUCCCGGCGCCGCUCAGCACUGCUUCCCCGCGGCUCAAGCGUAUCCACACCCACUUCUUUUUAUUCUCCUUCGUCCGACAUCGCCUCGCCUCGGCAGCCGGCCUCGAGGGCUCAGCAACUCGUGUGCGUGAGAACUUUUUCCUCCUCGCCGCGGGAUAUUAAAUAAUAGUCAGAUAAAAGACAUAACAGAGGCGAGUGUGAGUGAGACCAUUCCGCAACUUAUGCUUAUCGCUGUUUUUGUUGUGUUGUAAUAAUCAUUGUUGCUAUUGUUGUUGUUGGUAUGCGUGUGUGACCGUCAGCGACCGUCAUCAGCAUCAGCGUCAGCAGCAGCAGCAGGUGGAAAACGAAGUCAUUAGUCAGUGCCUCUGCCGCGCGCAAGGUCACGUGUGUUUGAGGAAGGAUUUGCUCCGGUCAUCAUUUAUCACUCGACUUGGAGGGGGUCGAGGGCGCAGGCCGGAGCGCGGGUCACGUCGGAGGCAAAAGGCGGAGGAGGAGGAGAAGGUGGAGGGUCGAAGGGUGUAGGAACGUGAGGCAAGUGAAGAAGAGGAAGAAGAAAAGGAGAAAUAGGAAGACUAAGGGGACUUUUGCUCUCCUGGAGAAACAACAGAGACACGAGGGGACCAGACUGCAAGAAACACGCGACAGACAUUCAGAAACAAAGUAGGAACGAGAAGGGAGGAGCUCAGGAACGAGUGACACCCUUGGAUAGCAUAGAGCGACGGCGUCCUCCGAGACACGGAGCCUUCGCGGGAGCCUGAGAGCCGCGUGUGAGGCAUACAGAUCCGCCGCUGAGACACGAUGGUAAAGAUGGUGCCUCGACGCGGAUGGCUGCGGCUCUCCUUCCUGGGGUUGUUGGCGGCCUGUGCACUCGUCUAUGUGUACUACUACUCUUCCGGCACCACCGCCCCGCACCUCAUGAAGGACGGCAAGCUCCAGCAGCAACAGGAUGCGGGGCGGGGCGGCGAGCGGCGGGCUGAGCGGCAGAGCGGCGGCGGCCUUGUGUUGGACGAGGGUCACGGACAGAUGGUGCCCUCCGCCCAGUGCCGCGUCAUCACGUCGCCCACCACCGACGUCAACACCGUGGACCAGUUCCCCAAGUUCGAGUUCCAGCCCGCCUGGAUGAGGGGCAAGGAGUUCUGGGACACCAACUUUGAGAAGCGAUACCUGAAACGACGCGCCAAGUGGAAGAAACUGCCGCUUUAGGUGAGUCAUUGUG